GGAUAAGAGGGCAAUCUGGCUGCCGUACUCGUCACCUCAUUGAUUGUCAGGGUUAACGUGGCUAUCCGGCUGGCUAGGUAGGUGCUCUGUUUCUCUCUCAACACUCCAUGUGCAUCCCUCCCAAAAUUGCGCACUGGUUGAAGAGGAUGAACAUUCCCACUAGAUGAAGACUGUUCUUCAGGUAAGGGUAUAGAGUAGCUGCUCCCCUGAUAGAACUUCCAAACAAUGUCUCAAGAAAAUGUGGUACAUAUAUGCCAUGGAAUACUACACUGACAUAAUGAAAACAAAACUAUGUCAUUUGAAACAACAU
rnacentral:snRNA from 1 species